GUGCCUGUAGCUCAAGGAGUAGAGCACUGGCCCCAUAUGCCAGAGGUGGUGGGUUCAAACCCAGCCCUGGCCA
rfam:Otolemur garnettii contig172775, whole genome shotgun sequence.